CUCCUGCUGCCACUUCGUACCUCAACACUGGACGAGCAUGGGGGCCGUCUACGGACACGGAUCCUGGGUGGCCUCCUGAUUGACCUUGAUGACCUCUGAAAUGGAGGAGCACGUGAAUCCUCUGGAGAGGGAUCACUCCCUGUGUGUGGUUCUCCCUGAGGGACUGAAGAAGAACAUCACAGUGCACGGAAGUAAACCGGUCAUGGACGUACUGGUGAUGCUCUGCUCGAGUUACCAUCU